rnacentral:rRNA from 1 species
GGAAAGACCCCAUGGAGCUUUACUCCAGUUUGAUACUGGGAUUCGGCAUGGUAUGUACAGGAUAGGUGGGAGACUGAGAAGGUAUGACGUCAGUUGUACCGGAGUCGCUGUUGGGAUACCACCCUUACCAUGUUGGAUUUCUAACCUGUGGCCGUAAGCCGGUCAGGGGACAAUGUCAGGCGGGGAGUUUGACUGGGGCGGUCGCCUCCGAAAGGGUAUCGGAGGCGCUCAAAGGUUCCCUCAGAAUGGUUGGAAACCAUUCGAAGAGUGCAAAGGCAGAAGGGAGCUUGACUGUGACACCGACGGGUGGAGCAGGUACGAAAGUAGGACUUAGUGAUCCGGUGGUAUAAAGUGGGAUUGCCAUCGCUCAACGGAUAAAAGCUACCCUGGGGAUAACAGGCUUAUCACUCCCAAGAGUUCACAUCGACGGAGUGGUUUGGCACCUCGAUGUCGGCUCAUCGCAUCCUGG